rnacentral:RNase_P_RNA from 1 species
GAGGAAAGUCCGGGCUCUAUUUAUAAUAGUAUAGUUGUAUAAAAUACAGUAUAGGAAACUAUAAGGAUCGUGCCACAGAAAUAUACCGCCUUAUCUUAUAGGCAAGGGUGCAAUGGUUUGGUAAGAGCGAGCCAGAAGCAUUAUUAAGAUGUUUGCUAGGUAAACCCCAUAUUUGAGCAAAGUGAUUAGAUACAUAUCCAUUAAUAAAUUAUUUAUAAAAUUUAUAUUCUGAGACGUUUUAACUAAUCUUUCUAUACUGCAUAAAGUAAUUUUCUACUUAAGAUUAAUAAUUACCCUUUUCGUAUUUUUAAGCAUUAAUAACAAGUAUUUGAAAAGAACUAAACCCGGCUUAU